rnacentral:rRNA from 1 species
AUUGAACGCUUGCGGCAGGCCUAACACAUGCAAGUCGAACGAGUGGCGGACGGGUGAGUAAUGUCUGGGAAACUGCCUGAUGGAGGGGGAUAACUACUGGAAACGGUAGCUAAUCCCGCAUACCAUCAGAUGUGCCCAGAUGGGGUGAGCUUGUUGAUUGGGUAACGGCUCACCAAGGCGACGCUCCCUAGCUGGUCUGAGAGGAUGACCAGCCACACUGGAACGGAGAAACGGGCCAGACUCCUACGGUAGGCAGAAGUGGGGAAUAUUGCACAAUGGGCGCAAGCCUGAUGCACCCAUGCCGCGUGUAUGAAGAAGGCCUUCGGGUUGUAAAGUACUUUGAGCGGGGAGGCGUUACCCGCAGAAGAAGCACCGGCUAACUCCGUGCCAGCAGCCGCGGUAAUAC